GAGGGCGUAGCUCAGCCGGUAGAGCAACGGACUUUUAAUCCGUAGGUCCCGGGUUCGAGUCCCGGCGCCCUCA
rnacentral:tRNA from 1 species